rnacentral:rRNA from 1 species
CCAGCUGUAAACGAUGAGUGCUAGGUGUGGGGGGCGACAAUCCUCCGUGCCGCAGUUAACGCAAUAAGCACUCCGCCUGGGGAGUACGGCCGCAAGGCUAAAACUCAAAGGAAUUGACGGGGGCCCGCACAAGCAGUGGAGCGUGUGGUUUAAUUCGAGGCAACGCGCAGAACCUUACCAGGGUUUGACAUCAUACCGACGUCUGUAGAAACACAGAUUUCCGCUUAGGCGGACGGUAUGACAGGUGU